GGUUGGAUCAUUACAGAAAAGAUCUGGCCUUUGGCCGUUUGUCGAGCAGACCAUCCCCCUUUCCGGGUGAUGUUUCUGUAAAGACAUUCACAAACAUCUUGUGAAUCGUGUUGUCUCUGGCGGCUGGGCAGAAGGUGGCAAUCUGUCACACUCCUGUCUGUCAGCCUGAUGUAACAGUCAGGCCGUGGACACGCCGCCAAAUGCUUGCAUAAACCUUAGUCUUUAUGUUUUGUCUAACAUUAUAUUGUAUUGAAUGAUACAAACAACUUUUGGCAACGGAUCUCUUGGCUCUCGCAACGAUGAAGAACGCAGCGAAAUGCGAUAAGUAGUGUGAAUUGCAGAAUUCAGUGAAUCAUCGAAUCUUUGAACGCACAUUGCGCUUCCUGGUAUUCCGGGGAGCAUGCCCGUUUCAGAAUCAUUAAAACCCUCACCCUACCUGGGCUUUUGGCCUGGUUAUAGUGGAUGUUGGAUGUUUUGUGCAAUAACUGUACAAUCAUCUGGAAAUGAUGGUGUGUGCUCCAGCUCUAGUCAGUUGGCCAACAAAGUGCAACAGAUGAAAGUCUCGAAACACAUUGUAGUCAAUGAACUGGAUCUGACUGUAGACAUUCCGUGACAACCAGUUUUCCAUGUCAGACAUGUCCUGGAAGCUGUUAAACUUGGUCUGAAAUCGGGCAAGAAAACCCGCUGAACUUAAGCAUAUCAAUAAGCGGAGGAAAAGAAACUAACAAGGAUUCCCCUAGUAACGGCGAGUGAAGCGGGAACAGCUCAAAUUUGAAAUCUCACAGGGUUGCCUGUGCGAAUUGUAGUUUAGAGAAGCGUUUUCGGGGGUGACUUGGGUAUAAGUCCUCUGGAAUGGGGCAUCAUAGAAGGUGAGAAUCCUGUUUAUGAUCCAAUGUUCACUCCUAUGUGAUACGCUUUCCAAGAGUCAGGUAGUUUGGGAUUGCUGCCUAAAAUGGGUGGUAAAUACCAUCUAAAGCUAAAUAUUGGCGAGAGACCGAUAGCGAACAAGUACCGUGAGGGAAAGAUGAAAAGAACUUUGAAAAGAGAGUUAAACAGUACGUGAAAUUGCCAAAAGGGAAACGCUUGGAACCAGUAUUGCCUGCACGUAAUCAGCCGCACGGCCCGAAAGGGUUAUUGCGGUGCACUUGCGUGCAGGCAGGUCAACAUCAGUUUGGUUUUGGGUAAAAAGCCAAAGGAAGGUAGCUUGGUGCUUCGGUGCUGAGUGUUAUAGCCUUUGGUCAUGCCUGGGACUGGACUGAGGUCUGCAGCAUUUUUUGGGUACCUGAUCGCCUCCUGAACCUUUCUUCUAGACAGCACGCUGACUAGGAGCCAGGCUAGGGAGCCCGGUCAGUUUAUCACACCAAUGCUUAGGAUGUUGACGAAAUGGUUCUAAACGACCCGUCUUGAAACACGGACCAAGGAGUCUAACAUAUAUGCGAGUAUUUGGGUGGUAAACCCUUAUGCGAAAUGAAAGUGAACUUAGGUGGGAUCUUCGGUGCACCAUCGACCGGUCUGGAUUUUUUUGAUAGAUCUGAGUAAGAGCAUAUCUGUUGGGACCCGAAAGAUGGUGAACUAUGCCUGAAUAGGGUGAAGCCAGAGGAAACUCUGGUGGAGGCUCGUAGCGAUUCUGACGUGCAAAUCGAUCGUCAAAUUUGGGUAUAGGGGCGAAAGACUAAUCGAACCAUCUAGUAGCUGGUUCCCUC
rnacentral:misc_RNA from 1 species